rnacentral:rRNA from 1 species
AACGAACGCUGGCGGCAUGCCUAACACAUGCAAGUCGAACGAAGGCAUCGGCCUUAGUGGCGCCCGGGUGCGUAACGCGUGGGAAUCUUCACAUUGGUUCGGAAUAACAGCUGGAAACGGCUGCUAAUACCGGAUGAUGACGAAAGUCCAAAGAUUUAUCGCCCGAGGAUGAGCCCGCGUUGGAUUAGGUAGUUGGUUGGGUAAAGGCCUACUACGCCGACGAUACAUAGCCGGUCUGAGAGGAUGAUCAGCCACACUGGGACUGAGACACGGCCCAGACUCCUACGGGAGGCAGCAGUGGGGAAUAUUGGACAAUGGGCGCAAGGCUGAUCCAGCAAUGCCGCGUGAGCGAUGAAGGCCCUAGGGUUGUAAAGCUCUUUUACCCGGGAAGAUAAUGACUGUACCGGGAGAAUAAGCCCCGGCUAACUCCGUG